UACGUAGUGGGCAAGCGUUGUCCGGAAUUACUGGGCGUAAAGGGCUCGUAGGUGGCCAACUAAGUCAGACGUGAAAUCCCUCGGCUUAACCGGGGAACUGCGUCUGAUACUGGAUGGCUUGAGUUUGGGAGAGGGAUGCGGAAUUCCAGGUGUAGCGGUGAAAUGCGUAGAUAUCUGGAGGAACACCGGUGGCGAAGGCGGCAUCCUGGACCAACACUGACACUGAGGAGCGAAAGCCAGGGGAGCAAACGGG
rnacentral:rRNA from 1 species